CUAGAAAAUAGGUAAAAGUAUACCAUGAAAAUUUGAAUUUCAAAUUAGGAGUUCGUUACUCUUUUUUCUAGU
rnacentral:tRNA from 1 species